AUACUCUGAUUUCUCUUCAGAUCGAAUAAAGCUCUCGUAUUUACUAAAGAUUUCCUUGGAGAGGAACAUUUAUGAGUUUUCAAAGAUUUUUUGUUGAGGCUCUGCUCCUUGCAGGCCU